UAGGGAAUCUUCGGCAAUGGGGGGAACCCUGACCGAGCAACGCCGCGUGAGUGAAGAAGGUUUUCGGAUCGUAAAGCUCUGUUGUAAGUCAAGAACGAGUGUGAGAGUGGAAAGUUCACACUGUGACGGUAGCUUACCAGAAAGGGACGGCUAACUACGUGCCAGCAGCCGCGGUAAUACGUAGGUCCCGAGCGUUGUCCGGAUUUAUUGGGCGUAAAGCGAGCGCAGGUGGUUAGAUAAGUCUGAAGUUAAAGGCUGUGGCUUAACCAUAGUAGGCUUUGGAAACUGUUUAACUUGAGUGCAGAAGGGGAGAGUGGAAUUCCAUGUGUAGCGGUGAAAUGCGUAGAUAUAUGGAGGAACACCGGUGGCGAAAGCGGCUCUCUGGUCUGUAACUGACGCUGAGGCUCGAAAGCGUGGGGAGCGAACAGGAUUAGAUACCCUGGUAGUCCACGCCGUAAACGAUGAGUGCUAGGUGUUAGGUCCUUUCCGGGACUUAGUGCCGCAGCUAACGCAUUAAGCACUCCGCCUGGGGAGUACGACCGCAAGGUUG
rnacentral:rRNA from 1 species